AACGAACGCUGGCGGCAGGCUUAACACAUGCAAGUCGAGCGCCCCGCAAGGGGCGCGGCAGACGGGUGAGUAGCGCGUGGGAACGUACCUUUUGGUUCGGAACAACUCCGGGAAACUGGAGCUAAUACCGGAUAAGCCCUAACGGGGAAAGAUUUAUCGCCGAAAGAUCGGCCCGCGUCUGAUUAGCUAGUUGGUGAGGUAACGGCUCACCAAGGCGACGAUCAGUAGCUGGUCUGAGAGGAUGAUCAGCCAUACUGGGACUGAGACACGGCCCAGACUCCUACGGGAGGCAGCAGUGGGGAAUAUUGGACAAUGGGCGCAAGCCUGAUCCAGCCAUGCCGCGUGAGUGAUGAAGGCCUUAGGGUUGUAAAGCUCUUUUGUCCGGGAAGAUAAUGACUGUACCGGAAGAAUAAGCCCCGGCUAACUUCGUG
rnacentral:rRNA from 1 species